rnacentral:lncRNA from 12 species
UUUAAACCAGACCCAUUUUAGGAGUGAAAACUGGCCCAGAGAGAGUCUUUACAGAGUAACUUCAAUCUGACAUGAACUCAAGUGACUUUGUAAAAAUAAGAUCCCAAAGGGGUGGGUUUCUGGUGGAAAGGCUGCCGGGUACUCAGCACAGGGAUCCUCAGCACCAGUUAAUAUCCACCAAACACGCAUCAUUAAACUGGAACAAACAUGACCCUGAAUUACUGGCUCCCUAUUUUCCUGAAUGUAGGUCAUUUUGUGUCCUUACAAUUUAACGUUUCAAGGGAUUUCCUGUCUUUGAAGUCCAGCCCUCCGUCACCUGUUUGGAUAGCCUCCUUAAAAGUAAGGGCUCCGUGCCUACUUUGGAAGGCUUAGUGACUCCGUGUUCCCCUGGAGUUUCCCAGGUCACUAAGGCAGCCCACCUGCAGGUGCAGGUCUCUCCUUUACAAGUCAGCGCCUGCAGAUCCCCUAUCCCAGACUUCAUUUCUCUAGGUCAGAGCCUACCAGAAAAGCCCGGAGCCAUCCAUUCACCUGGGUGAAGCCAUAAAGAGUGGGCCCCGUGCCAAAUACUGAAGCUGACUCGGUCUCUGCCUGUUGGGCUGCUGAUUAAAAAAGAUAUGCCAUAAAAGAGGUGAAAGAGGGUGAAACCCAUUCCCUGUCACUCUCAAGGAGUAAAACAUCAUUAAAUCUUCACGAAAAGAUCGUUCACUGCAAAACACUGGAAUUUUUGAACUGGAGUCAAGAGAUACGACACUAUUUUAUGUUGAUCCAUUCAAUGGGCCCUAAGAGCCCACGGAAAGAUGCCGGAAGAAUACGUGGAUGAAGUAAUCGUUAAUAAAUCUGUUGAUAUUCCCAAUGUAAGAACAGAAAGAAAUGCUCUGACCUCUCACUCCAGAAAUAGAGGUCCUCCUACACAUGUCACACCACUACCUCGGAUACCAAAAAUGAACUCAGGUACGGCGGCCCGUCCCUCGGCAGGUGCGGCUGCAGUGGCCCGUCCCUCAGCAGGUACAGCGGCCCAUCCCUAAGCAGAUGCAGCGGCCUGUCACCUGGCAGGUAUGGUGGCCCAUCACCCAGCAGGUACGGUGGCCCAUCACCCAGCAGGUGCCGGCAGCCCGUGUCCCUCAGCAGG